rnacentral:lncRNA from 1 species
CCCGUCCAGGGCGCGUGCGCGUCUCCUCAGACGCCGCCUCGGCGAGCCGGGCGCCGGGCAGGAACGCUGGCCUUUCGUUCCCGCGCUGCUUGGAGGUACCUUGCCAUGGCCCCGUCCCACCUACCGAGCACAGGAAGAAACAGCACGUCGCGCUGGUAACUGCGAUGGCGGGAACAGGCGAAUCCCUGGAACGUUUCCUCACAGGGUAGUCUCGCACUUGCGUUCGAAGGUUCGCGGCGCGUCAAGAACCACACACGCUGUUUCUCUUAUGAGCGCGGUCGAGCGCGGAGGACUCCUCUGCGCAUGCCGGGUACUUCUCUGUGACGUGCUGCAUUGCACUCUGGGAAACGUAGUUCUUACUUCGACACCUGUGCUUUGAUGUACUUAAUCAUGAUUUAAUAGAUCAGAGUCAAAGGAACAGAAAAGCAUGCGUGAAGCCUCGCUUCGCAUGUGAAAGGUGAUGGGAGCGGAUCCUCUGCACCAGAAGAAAACAACAACAAAACCACAUCAGAUUGUUGGGGAUGAGGAGGGAGGGCCCCAGGACGCAGAUGAGAACUCUGUACUUUAAGCUGAAAUUUGCCGUGAAUUUAAAAUGUAUCUGAAAAUAUUUUUAAAUUCCAAAUAAGCAGUUUUAGGUUUAGUACUUGUAUUUUACAGAAUCUUCCCAGCAAAUAAAAGAUUUGGACAUGCAAACAUUUAGCUACAUCUUUGGAUACCUACCCUGUGGAUGCCUGCCCAGUUAGUGCAGUGGUAGGACACUUGCUUAGCAUGGUCCCGGGCUCAGUCCCUAGGGACUGCUCCCACCCUAACUAUCCUAAUAUUUCGUACAUAACACCUAAAAAAAUCAAUAUGGUUUGGUGGUUAAGAGCAAGUACUGCUCAAUCGUGAAGACCAGAAUUAGAAUGCCAGCACUUGGGUCAGCUGGCUCAGACUGCCUGUAACUCCAGCUCCAAGGGAUCUAAUGCCCUCUUUUGGCCUCUGAGGGCACUGCACAGGUGCACAUACACAUAUACAUACGCCUGGACAUAGAAUAAAAAUAUUUUUGAAAAUCUUUUAAAG